CCUACGGGAGGCAGCAGUGAGGAAUAUUGGUCAAUGGGCGCGAGCCUGAACCAGCCAAGUCGCGUGAGGGAAGACGGUCCUAUGGAUUGUAAACCUCUUUUGUCGGGGAGCAAAAGACGCCACGCGUGGCGUUCCGAGAGUACCCGACGAAAAAGCAUCGGCUAACUCCGUGCCAGCAGCCGCGGUAAUACGGGGGAUGCGAGGGUUAUCCGGAUUUAUUGGGGUAAAAGGGUGCGAAGGCGGAAGAUCAAGUCAGCGGGAAAAUUGAGAGGCUCAACCUGUUCGGGCCUUUGAAACUGGUUUUCUUGAGUGUGCGAGAAGUAGGCGGAAUGCGUGGUGUAGCGGUGAAAUGCAUAGAGAUCACGAAGAACUCCGAUUGCGAAGGCAGCAUACCGGCGCUCAACUGACGCUCAUGCACGAAAGUGUGGGGAUCGAACAGGAUUAGAUACCCUUGUAGUC
rnacentral:rRNA from 1 species